GACGAACGCUGGCGGCGUGCUUAACACAUGCAAGUCGAACGGAAAGGCCCUGCUUUUGUGGGGUGCUCGAGUGGCGAACGGGUGAGUAACACGUGAGUAACCUGCCCUUGACUUUGGGAUAACUUCAGGAAACUGGGGCUAAUACCGGAUAGGAGCUCCUGCUGCAUGGUGGGGGUUGGAAAGUUUCGGCGGUUGGGGAUGGACUCGCGGCUUAUCAGCUUGUUGGUGGGGUAGUGGCUUACCAAGGCUUUGACGGGUAGCCGGCCUGAGAGGGUGACCGGCCACAUUGGGACUGAGAGACGGCCCAGAAGGCUACGGGAGGCAGAAGUGGGGAAUAUUGCGCAAUGGGCGGAAGCCUGAUGCAGCAACGCCGCGUGCGGGAUGACGGCCUUCGGGUUGUAAACCGCUUUCGCCUGUGACGAAGCGUGAGUGACGGUAAUGGGUAAAGAAGCACCGGCUAACUACGUG
rnacentral:rRNA from 1 species